ACCCAUGUGUAUCUUACCUUUUGUUGCCUCGGCGGGGUGCCCCAUGCAUGCAAGUGUGUGUGGCAAGCCCCCCCGCCGGUGGCCCCAACCCAAUGCUUUUGUAUACUAUGCAUUUCUGACACCACCACGUAAAUACGUUUAAAACUUUCAACAACGGAUCUCUUGGUUCUGGCAUCGAUGAAGAACGCAGCGAAAUGCGAUAAGUAAUGUGAAUUGCAGAAUUCAGUGAAUCAUCGAAUCUUUGAACGCACAUUGCGCCCAUUAGUAUUCUAGUGGGCAUGCCUGUUCGAGCGUCAUUUCAACCCUUAAGCCCCUGUUGCUUAGCGUUGGGAGCCCACUGUCUAGCUGGCAGUGGCUCCUGAAAUCCAGUGGCGGAGUCGGUUUCGUGCUCCGGAUGUAGUACAUUUCUCGUCCGCAAGUGGAAGCCGGUGUCCUGCCGUAAAACCCCCCUUUUUUCUCAAGGUUGACCUCGGAUCAGGUAGGAAUACCCGCUGAACUUAAGCAUAUCAUA
rnacentral:rRNA from 1 species